CAUCAUCAUGCUCCAGAGAGAUGUAAGAAGCCUGUUGUAUGUGUUGUAAAAGCUUGACUGCCUUAUUGGGGUUCUUAGGACAGUUUUUAGCAUAGUGACCUCGAUUGCCACAGAUGUAGCACCUAUCAGACUUCUUUGUACCCGCUCUUUUCUUUCGAAAGUAUCUGACUGGUCUUCUUCCUUUCUUCUGUUUGAAAGGGGGUUUGAAACUAAAGGAAUACUUCUUGUAAUGCCCUU
rnacentral:misc_RNA from 1 species